GAUGAAGAACGUAGCGAAAUGCGAUAAGUAAUGUGAAUUGCAGAAUUCAGUGAAUCAUCGAAUCUUUGAACGCACCUUGCGCUCCUUGGUAUUCCAAAGAGCAUGCCUGUUUGAGUAUCAUUAAAUUAUCAACUGUACCAAUUUGGUUGCAGAUUGGAUGUGGGAGAUUUUGCAGGCUUUUGAUUUCUCUUUGAGAAAACGGUCAGCUCUCCUGAAAUAUAUUAGCAGUGCCUUUGUUGGUUCAUUAGGGGUGAUAAUUUAUCUACAUCUUCACAUGGUACCUUCAUUUGUGUAAAGGUCAUAUUGCUUCUAAUUGUCUUUGGACAUAAAAAAAAAAAAAACAUAUAAUUGUAUGGAAAACUUGAUCUCAAAUCAGGCAGGACUACCCGCUGAACUUAAGCAUAUCAAUAAGCGGAGGA
rnacentral:misc_RNA from 1 species